UGCAAGUCGAGCGGACAGAAGGGAGCUUGCUCCCGGAUGUUAGCGGCGGACGGGUGAGUAACACGUGGGUAACCUGCCUGUAAGACUGGGAUAACUCCGGGAAACCGGAGCUAAUACCGGAUAGUUCCUUGAACCGCAUGGUUCAAGGAUGAAAGACGGUUUCGGCUGUCACUUACAGAUGGACCCGCGGCGCAUUAGCUAGUUGGUGGGGUAAUGGCUCACCAAGGCGACGAUGCGUAGCCGACCUGAGAGGGUGAUCGGCCACACUGGGACUGAGACACGGCCCAGACUCCUACGGGAGGCAGCAGUAGGGAAUCUUCCGCAAUGGACGAAAGUCUGACGGAGCAACGCCGCGUGAGUGAUGAGGGUUUUCGGAUCGUAAAGCUCUGUUGUUAGGGAAGAACAAGUGCGAGAGUAACUGCUCGCACCUUGACGGUACCUAACCAGAAAGCCACGGCUAACUACGUGCCAGCAGCCGCGGUAAUACGUAGGUGGCAAGCGUUGUCCGGAAUUAUUGGGCGUAAAGGGCUCGCAGGCGGUUUCUUAAGUCUGAUGUGAAAGCCCCCGGCUCAACCGGGGAGGGUCAUUGGAAACUGGGAAACUUGAGUGCAGAAGAGGAGAGUGGAAUUCCACGUGUAGCGGGGAAAUGCGUAGAGAUGUGGAGGAACACCAGUGGCGAAGGCGACUCUCUGGUCUGUAACUGACGCUGAGGAGCGAAAGCGUGGGGAGCGAACAGGAUUAGAUACCCUGGGUAGUCCACGCCGU
rnacentral:rRNA from 1 species